CACACACACACACACACACACACAAGGAAAUAUGGUUACUACAUGUGUUGAAUUCUGAAAUGAGUUUGUAAUAUGAGGUGACAACUAAAUGACGAUUAUUUGAUGUGUUUAUAUAUCAUUUGCUCCUUGUUGCAGUAAAGUUUGAGGCUUAGGAAAUAUAAAUCACAUUUCAAAUGCAAAACUUUAUAUCUACCAAGUUGAUUGAUUGAUUGUUUUCAUUGUAUAGCAAAAAAAUACAAUAAGAGUCAAUGACAGAAAUGAUUCUUACACAUUAGUCACAAACAGCUACAAAUAAGAGUCAAGAGAAUAUCAUGCUACUGUACAUUCAAGCAAGUGCACAUCAUCACAAUGCAGAUCUAAGCAAGCAGUGAGUCAUGGAACACAAGCAAACACAGAUCGAAUUACAUGCUUAGGCAAACAGUUUAAGGGUGUCCAUAUCAUACUGCAAGUUACUGCCUUAAAACUAUGAUGCUCUGCCAUACUAUCACAAGAGGAGGUAAGUAAAAAUGUCAAUAUUUAUGGUAAAUUACACAAGAAUUAGCUCGCCUAAAUUUUUUUCACACUAAAUCAAGAGAAUGGGUCAAAAUUAUGUAUUGUGCGUAUUGUGUAUUGGGAUGUUUUUUGUUUCCAGACAAGAAUGGAAAAUCGUAUACGUCAACAAAAGCAAAAUAUAUGUCAACAAAUACAUACAGAUUAUACUGUAGAAUGUAUCAGAGUAUUACGAGCAGUGUGUAUUGUGUUGACCAAAAUUUAAACAUACCUUACUUUUUUUUAUUUCCAGAGAAGAAGGAAAACAGCGCACAUCAACAAAAACAUGAAGAUUAUACUGAGGGAUGUAUCAAAAUUUCACAAGUAUAGUAUAUAUUAUGUCUUGGCAACAAAUAAAGUCAUACCUCAUCUUUUUCAUACAUUUCCAGAUAAGAGAUAUAGAUAAAAUAAAAUAAAGCAAAUUAAAUAAAAAUAAAUACCCAAAUCUGAUCAUACCUCAACAAAUUUUUUUAUACACCUCCAGAUAAGAAGCAAAAACAAAAGUGAAAAAAGGUAAAUAAAUAAACAAAUGAAAAGUAAAAACAAUAAUAAAACCACCAACAAAAAAAUGAAGAAUAUAAUGCACAGGUCUUGAAGGGGUGGGGCCGAGUGAGUCACCUUGCCGGGCCUGGGAGGGAAAAAACUGGGAGAUGCUACAGUGGAGGCCUUGAGGGGUGCCAGGUGAGGGUGACUAACGCUGGGCAGGUGAACGCCAAGCACCUGGUUUGCCGAGAUCCCCAAAAGUUGUUCCAAGUUCUCAGUGAGUCAAUUUUUACCUUUCACAAGAGAUUAUUUUUACACCUAGUUAAAUUAUCAAGGGUAGAGAAAUAUUCCAUCAUCCAUGCGUUUUUUUUCCUGCAAUUUAAAUUUUAGUGGACUUUUUUAUUACAAUUUCUUGCCUUCUGGAACUUAGAAUGCUAUUUUUGGGGGGAUUAUAAGUUCCUGUUUGCCCUUUUAUUAACUUUUUUUGACCAGUGGAAUUCCGGUUACUAGGCCGUUUCUGUAUAUUUUUUCUUAUAUAAGUACUACCGUUACCGUUUACCGUUGAUGAGGUCUCAGGCCCCCGUUUCAGGGCCCGCUAACAGGAAUUGCAUGUAUAAAUUUGCAAAUAUGCCCUAGACAAACCCACCUUUCAUUAACCUGCAAAUCAAUCCUUCUCUCCCAGCAAACUCGCUUCAGUGACCAAUUAUCAAGAGUGCUCAUCAUGAACAUACUAUUUCAACAUGCAACUGACUAAAUGGAGACAUCAAGCUUCUAAAUGCAAUAACGCUAUACGUAUAUGUUUUAUUAUACAAGGAUAGGGAGACUAAUAUAAUGCUGAUGUAAAUCUGUCGAUGUAUGUGUGAAUGUAUGCAGGUGUGUAUGUAUGAAUGUGUCUUUCGGUCUGUGUAUGAAUUAGAUCUUUGUCAGGUGUAUCUAUCUGUGUGUGUAUGAAGGAGAUCUGUCAGGUGUGUGUAUAUAAAUGUGUGUGUGUGUGUGUGUGUGUGUGUGUGUGAAUCAAAGCUGUCAGGUGUGUAUAUAUAUGUGCGUAUGUAUAUGUGUAUGAAUUAAUGCUGUCAGGUGUGUAUGUAUGUAUGUGGGUAUGAAUUAAAGCUGCCAGGUGUGUGUGUGUGUGUGUGUGUGUGUGUGUGU